ACUAUCUUUUUUUUUCAUUUAUUUAUUUAAUUCAUGUGUAUAUGUGUGUGCAUGGGUGCAUUAGAGCACAAGGGUAGAGGUCAGAGGGCAACUUGUAGAAGUCCAUUCUCUCUUCUAUGCAGCACCUGGGGAAUCAAGCUCUGUUCCCCCGGCUUGGUGACAAGUGUUCUUACCUGCAGCUCUUUUUGUUUUCUUGAGAUAGUGUCUUGCGAGCCCUGGAAAACAUAAUACACAUUCCAGCUAAGGCUGGCCUCGUGAUCAUGGCAGUCCUCUUGUCUCAAGCCUCCUGAGUGCUGAGAUUAUCGGUCUGGGCCCCCACAGCCUGAUUUAAAUAGUUUUCUUUAAGUGAAUACUGCAUAAGGCCAGAGCAGUGUCUCUCCGGCCUGUUACUCAAGGUUAACGGACGCGCCCAGUCCUGACAGGAGACCAGCAGAGAUCAAACAUGAAUGCAGAGGUGGGUGGUUAAGUGGAGAACGAACGGACGGACGUGUCCUGAGGCUUCUUGAAGGAAAGCGUUCUGGAGACAGAUUCAAAGAGAGAGCAAGAGUGGGCUACAACUGAAGCCUCUCGUAGGACAAUCUGAGGAGACAGGAAGAAGGACUGGAUAACCGUGGGUACAACUAACGGGUGGUCCUGACGGGGCGGGGUGCAGGUGGCUGCUUAAGUUUGUCCUGGGGAACAAUGUCUGUAAGUGAAAUAAGAAAAUGAGGGCUUGGCGCUCCUUGGUAUGGUGGAUGUUUAUUGUCGGUAUGGGGCGGGGGCAUAGGCAGGGGCAUCUGGAAGAGUCUAGAGUGUACAUGGCUGGCGGGCUGAAUCGAGCCGUAUGGGAGAAGGAGGGAGAUGGCAGAGCGGGAACCAAGAGCGGCAGGCUGCAGCCAAGAAGCAAAAAAGGACUGGUAGCCAAAAUGGCUGACGUCAUACAGGAAUCGGAGAAGGCAGCCCAUGCUUCUGGCUGGAGAGUUCCGGGUAGGGGGCGGGGCAUGCCAGCUGGGAGGACUUCCCUGUAGGACUGAGGGAAGACUGGAGCCAGAGUCUGCUUUGAUUUGCUAGCCAUUUGUCCUAAAUCUGAGACCUAACAGUCUGAGCCUAGGUAAUUGUAUGCAGAUAGUUGGGGCCCACUUUGUUCCCUUCUCGGAGCACAUUAAACAUUUCCUGAUGGUGGCAACUUUUAGAACAGCAGUCAAAUCCAGACCUCUCUCCUUCCGGGCCAGCUCAACUUGGAAAGAGUCUGCAACCCACGAGAGGUCCUUUGUGUCUGGACAUGGCUCAACACUUGACCCACCAAGAAAAGUUUUCAGGUGAAGAGGGCUACACCCUGGAAGAGCUACAGUUUGGUUUUGGAUUUAGAGGCACUGUGAACCCUUAAAGUUGCAGAACAUACACGGGGUGAGAGGAGGCCCGACCUGAAGUGAGGCCGUAGGGACCACGCUUCUCAGUGAGGAAAUACGGUGCACCAAAGGUAAGUUUUAGAACAUUUUAAUAUCCUUUUUUUUUCAGUGGAUGCAU